rnacentral:rRNA from 1 species
UACGUAGGGUGCGAGCGUUAAUCGGAAUUACUGGGCGUAAAGCGUGCGCAGGCGGUUUUGUAAGCCAGGUGUGAAAUCCCCGGGCUCAACCUGGGAAUGGCAUUUGGGACUGCAAGGCUGGAGUGCGGCAGAGGAGACUAGAAUUCCUGGUGUAGCAGUGAAAUGCGCAGAUAUCAGGAGGAACACCAAUGGCGAAGGCAGCACUCUGGGACGUGACUGACGCUGAGACGCGAAAGCGUGGGGAGCAAACAGG